rnacentral:rRNA from 1 species
GAUCCUGGCUCAGGAUGAACGCUAGCUACAGGCUUAACACAUGCAAGUCGAGGGGCAGCAUGGUCUUAGCUUGCUAAGGCCGAUGGCGACCGGCGCACGGGUGAGUAACACGUAUCCAACCUGCCGUCUACUCUUGGACAGCCUUCUGAAAGGAAGAUUAAUACAAGAUGGCAUCAUGAGUCCGCAUGUUCACAUGAUUAAAGGUAUUCCGGUANACGAUGGGAUGCG